rnacentral:pre_miRNA from 1 species
UAAGUACUCCCUCCGUCCAGAAAUACUUGUCGAAGAAAUGGAUAAAAAUUGAUGUAUCUAGAACUAAAAUACGUCUAGAUACAUCCAUUUCUCCGACAAGUAUUUCCGGACGGAGGGAGUAUAUG